rnacentral:lncRNA from 1 species
GCUCCCUACAUCCACCUAUCUUGCCGGCUCACAACUUUUGAAAUCAUUACAGAGAUGUCCACACAUGCUUCCCCAGUAACUCUCUCACCAGAAUCUGCAGUUGCUCACUGUGCCAGCAAUGUCUCCCUUAUUACUGCCAAUCUCUUGCUACAACAGUCUAGGAAGAAUGGAAGAAAUUGGAUAACCAGUUUUACUAAAUCAGUCAUUUUAGUGGAGUUAAGAUUUGCCAGGAACCUUUGGCUGAAGAAAUUGCAGGACACUUCUAGAGUGAAAUCAUGAAGGUAACACCUUUCCAUUCCACUCAAGAACCUCUUUUU